CUCUUGGAAAAGUCCCUGUCCCCCCGCACCAAGGAAAAUCCAGGGACCUCCACGCUGUAGUCCGGAAUAAGCGAGUGCAGCCAGGUUUCCGUGAAGCAGAAGAUACUGCACUCCCUGUACUCCUUCUGGGUCCUAACCAGCGCCACCUGCAGCCCCGUCGUCUCCUCCGUAACUCCUCUGGGACCACAGGCCCGUCUCCGGGCAGCAGCAGAGGCCCACACAGCGCAAUCAGCCAUUCACGCGAGCAAACAAUGCCGCUACUCCGCUCGGCGAGGUUCUCCGCAACCAAGAG